rnacentral:lncRNA from 1 species
GGGGGUUUAGGAAGGUAUUUUCAAUGUGUUCUUAGUGAAAUUCAAAUGUUGCAGAUUGUAAAAUACAUUUUCGAUGUAACAGCAUACUAAUCAGCUACCAAUAUAUAUAUCUUUUUUUAUCAUUUAUAACUGUCUUGUAUAGGCUACACGAACCUGCAUGACAUGAGCCAUCCUCACGCUCUCUCCCAGCUUGGAUAGAAAAUUGUUGAGUGUAAAACCAGUCUAUUAAUGCCAAAUAAUACAGUCAGUCCACCCUCAAAACACAAAGAAUAGCUAGAUAGGACCAGUCGGCCAGCCGGUCAGAUAGGAGCAGUCGGCCAGAAAGAUAGGACCGGUCGGCCAUCCGGGGGGGGGGGCAAAACAACAAAAUUAAGAGGUAAUGACAGAUGGGGAUAGAGAAAAAUAUAGGAUAAAAUAAGAAUAAAUAGAGAUAUAGAGAGAGAAUGAGUGAGGAAGGAGUAAUGACAGAUGGAUAGAAGAGUAAGGAUUCAAAAACCUCAAACAGAACUGUCUUAUGGAGACUAGCAUCAUUGGGACAACGAUGCGCGUAAGGGUGUGUUGGAGUGUUUGAGGAGUAAUAUAGAUCAGGUACCUGGACAGGUAGUGUUUGAGGAGUGUUAUAGAGCAGGUACCUAGACAGGUGGUGUUUAAAGAGUGUUAUAGAGCAGGUACCUGGAC